AAUGUCAUAACAAGGUUUCUGUAGGUGAACCUGCAGAAGGAUCAUUAUUGAAUUGUAAAAGUGGGAGUCGCUUUCGAGCACUCCUCUACAUUCUUUAUUCCUUAACGCCUGUGAAUCGUUGCUGAGUUCGCUCAGUGGCACCUUUUUUGACACACACACACUAUAUCGUUUAGAACGUAAAAAUCUAUAAAACUAAAAUUACAAC
rnacentral:misc_RNA from 1 species